UACGUAGGGCGCAAGCGUUGUCCGGAAUUAUUGGGCGUAAAGAGCUCGUAGGCGGUUUGUCGCGUCUGCUGUGAAAACCUAAGGCUCAACCUUGGGCUUGCAGUGGGUACGGGCAGACUAGAGUGCGGUAGGGGUGACUGGAAUUCCUGGUGUAGCGGUGGAAUGCGCAGAUAUCAGGAGGAACACCGAUGGCGAAGGCGGCAUACUGGACCACCACUGACGCUGAGGCGCGAAAGCCAGGGGAGCAAACGGG
rnacentral:rRNA from 1 species